rnacentral:rRNA from 1 species
CCCUUAGAUGUUCUGGGCCGCACGCGCGCUACACUGAUUCAUGCAACAAGUUUUGUCCUUGGCUGAUAGGCCUGGGUAAUCUUUGAACGUGAAUCGUGAUGGGGAUAGAUGAUUGCAAUUAUUCAUCUUCAACGAGGAAUUCCUAGUAAACGCAAGUCAUCAGCUUGCAUUGAUUACGUCCCUGCCCUUUGUACACACCGCCCGUCGCACCUACCGAUUGAAUGGUCCGGUGAAAUCUUCGGUUCUGAGAGAUGUCUGAUUAAUUUCGGACGCCUUUUGGAAAAGUUGUUUAAACCUUACCAUUUAGAGGAAGGUGAAGUCGUAACA